rnacentral:rRNA from 1 species
GUGGGGAAUAUUGCGCAAUGGGGGAAACCCUGACGCAGCGACGCCGCGUGAAGGAUGAAGGCCUUCGGGUUGUAAACUUCUUUGAUGAGGGACGAACAGAUGACGGUACCUCAAAAACAAGCCACGGCUAACUACGUGCCAGCAGCCGCGGUAAUACGUAGGUGGCGAGCGUUGUCCGGAAUUACUGGGUGUAAAGGGCGUGUAGGCGGGGAUGCAAGUCAGAUGUGAAAUCCCGAGGCUCAACCUCGGAGCUGCAUCUGAAACUGUGUCUCUUGAGUGUCGGAGAGGAAAGCGGAAUUCCCAGUGUAGCGGUGAAAUGCGUAGAUAUUGGGAGGAACACCGGUGGCGAAGGCGGUUUUCUGGACGACAACUGACGCUGAGGCGCGAAAGCGUGGGGAGCAAACAGGAUUAGAAACCCUAGUAGUCC